UACGUAGGGGGGCAAGCGUUUGUCCGGAUUUAUUGGGCGUAAAGAGCGUGUAGGCGGCCAGGUAGGUCCGCUGUGAAAACUCGAGGCUUAACCUCGAGAUGUCGGUGGAAACCAUCUGGCUAGAGUCCGGAAGAGGAGAGUGGAAUUCCUGGUGUAGCGGUGAAAUGCGCAGAUAUCAGGAAGAACACCCCGUGGCGAAGGCGGCUCUCUGGGACGGUACUGACGCUGAGACGCGAAAGCGUGGGGGAGCAAACAGG
rnacentral:rRNA from 1 species